CCGCUCCGACCGAGCCCAGUAAUGGGGCGAGGUGUCGCGGCGGCGUUCCUGCACGCCUUGUCGGCCUUGGAGCUAGCCUUGGCGGGGGCGGGCCGAGGCGUCGCGGCGGAGGAUGAUAAGCAGACGGGCACGCGCCGCCGGCGCGCUUGCCGUGGGUGUCCGCUUCGCCCGAGCCCAGGAGUGGGGCGAGGCGUCGCGGCGGCGUUCCUACGCGCCUUGUCGCCCUCGAAGCUGGCCUUGGCGGGCCGAGGCGUCGCGGCAAGGCGGCCGGCGUGCUCUGUUGGGGCGAGGCGUCGCGGCGCUCCGGCUCCGGCAGAUGACGACAGAGAGCCAGGUGUGGCUUGGCGUCGCCAAGAGCCACGAGGUCGUCGGCGCCGGCCACCGCGCCAGGCUGGACCAGCUGCUGCAGCCCUCCUGCGCCGUCGCCGUCGCCGUGGCACAAGAAGCGCGAGUUCCCCCUCGUUGUCGGAGGCUGGGUGUCGUUCUGUAGUGCAGAUUGUCUAAUCGAGUUUCUGAAAGCGUCGUCCACGUCUGCCACUUCAUGGGUCCAUACACUGGGAACUCACGCCUGAGAACUUCCUGCUCACCAGAUUUGAUUUCAGUUUCUCUGUCUCCAUCGAAGAAGUGGCAAGCAUGGCUAGGGCGAGCAACGAGGGUUCCUGUAGUGCAUAACCAUUUCAAGUCGCCCAAGUUCUAAAGAGAGAUCAGAAGUGCCAGCUACUGAAGCAAAAAAAAAGGACCUGAUACAAAUUAUAAUCAUGGACUGCUGAUAUACCUGAUGCAUUUCUUCAUGAUGGUCGAUUUCCUUUUGCCAGAUCUUACAUGUUUAAUUAUGUGUGCUCGGAACCAAAAACUGAUUGAGAUCUUCAGUUCUUACUUGCAGAUGUUCUGUUAUUCAAAGUAAUUCAGUUUCCAGUCUCUGUGUAUUAAUCAAAUUAUGGGUUAUUUUCAACCAUAUAGGCUUUUAUUAUAUGUUCAGUUAUGCUUCCAUGGGUUUUGCAUAUGUAUUAACAAAACAACCAGACUGCUAUUCUGUAUAUACUUGGAUCAAAGGGUGUACAAUUAAUUUGCUCUUACGAAAGGAAUGAGUAGGCAGCUAGCAGAAUGAGAGGACAAUCAUGACAAGCGAACCAACACAUAAAUAGUAAUACCACAAUUUUUACAACUCCAUUUCACUUUACUUUUGUAUGGAUAUGCAUUUUUAUCCUUGGAGUAUUUGGAUUUUAAGUGGGAAUCAUUGGUUCUUUCUUCUUAAUAUUUUACUUCUUAUAAUUACAAAUACCAAUUUUAGAGAAUUGAGCUCGUACUUAAAAUUCAAUUGAGUGUGAAGCCACUGACCAUUGUGUGAAAGAAACAAUUAGAACCAACUGAUCUUUUUUUAGAUAUAUGAAACUUGCAUUUGUUUUGUUAAUUCUUCUGCAGUGCAGGUGAUAUUCCUAAUGGUUGCUGCUGACGCUGAAAAAAUUACGCCUGAAGCACUAGAAGUUCCCUCUCUAUGGCACAUCACUCACUGGAUCCAGAUGGGCAACAUUCCGCUUCAAGAUUAAAGAGUACAAUUUUUGCAUGCUAUCAUUGCUUAUCCAAGAGUAAUCUACCAUGUGCCUAAUAUAUAUACAUGAUUGUUGCACCAUCACAAGAUUUCCAUUAUAUAAAUGGGCAUAACUUUCUUUACUGUGAAUUAAUCAACGUGAUGCUUCUGUUUUAAGGAAUGGCAAUGCUAAAUUCUACAGUGGUACUCUCUACUCUGUCGAAUGUUUACAAACACCAGAAAGCUAGAGAUCUAUUGUGGAAAACUUUCUUUCUUUUGUUUGUUAUAACUUCUUAGUGUAAAAAUAAAUAUGGCUUGUCCAUUACGAAACAAAUAUGUAAGAUUUAUUACUUUUCAAAGUUGAAUUGUUCCUGACAAUUACAUAUGAGAGUGCAUAUAAUUGAGUUGUGCUGAUUUGCUGUUUCUAAAAUGAUAAGCUGGAGCUGGAGUUACAUAUGAGAGUAGAGAUAAUUAAGUUGUGCUCCUGACUUGAUUAACAAAAGCUGCAGAAGAAAGGGACAAAAUACCAGAAAGCUGAAAAUUCAAAGAAAGGUGGAAGUAGGGAACUACACAACUUGAUUCAAGGUUACAAAGGGACAAAGGGCAUUGAUUGAGCAGGAGAAAACAAUAAUGGGCCAAGGCAAGGAUAUAGUGCUCAAUUAGUAAAGAGAUAUGUGGGAAGUGGGGCAGCGGGAUGCAAAUGGAAUUUUUGUGACUCACUGAAGGUGAGCAAAACUUCAGAAAAGAAAUUGCAACCGAAGUAGAGCCUCAUCACCAAGAGAACAUAGGGAUUUUAAGUUUUUUGUAGCCUGCACCGGAGACUGUAGAGAGAGCGGGGCAUUGUGGGCAUUAAUUGUGUGUCAAAGCCUCAAGGGAAGGGAGGACCAAGGAGAAGCCAAGCCGAGAAGGAGAUAACAUUCGGGCCUAGGCCACUCUUACUAGGUGGUGCCCGAGCCCGGCCUAUGGAGGCACGCGGGACAGCGGGAGUUUGAGGGACUAGGCCACUGGGCCUCGAGUUGCACACAUACAUACAGGACCCGCCCUUCCAACAUGAAACAAGUCCACAACAAUAUAAGUCAAAAUCGAGUGGGAGUAUGAGGGAUUACGUAUGGAUCAGAUGCACAGUAUAACUAUUUAUUGAACGGUCUCAUAUGGUGAAAAUUGAGGGUUCUUGUAUACAUGGCGCGGUCCGGUUCGAUGUCUCGUGGUCACAUGCCUAGGCCGCCUCAAUGAUUGAGCUGAGUUACAACCAGGAGCACCAUGCCUCUCAUAAAGAAUCAUAGAAUGGUCUAUACGACGUUCAUUGAUGGAGAGUGUAGACAUGCAAUGUGACUGCACUAUACUCGGGAGAAGAUCAUGUUUCCGUAAACAUUCCAGCAACAGCAAUCCAGGGCCUUCUUCUUCUGCUAGUUGUUUUUCUCCUGGGCUUGCUCCUUCUUCUCCUGGGCGUGCUCCUUCUUCUCCUACAACAGCAGCAACAGCAGGUUAAUGACAACAGUAGUUUGACAACAGCAGCAGGUCAAUAACAACAGCAUCAACUCCUAGGAAUGCUUUAAUUUAGUC